rnacentral:rRNA from 1 species
AUUGAACGCUGGCGGCAGGCCUAACACAUGCAAGUCGAGCGAGCGGCGGACGGGUGAGUAAUGUCUGGGAAACUGCCUGAUAGAGGGGGAUAACUACUGGAAACGGUAGCUAAUACCGCAUACCAUCAGAUGUGCCCAGAUGGGAUUAGCUGGUAGGUGGGGUAACGGCUCACCUAGGCGACGAUCCCUAGCUGGUCUGCGAGGAUUACCAGCAACACUGGACCUGGGAAACGGUCCAGACGCCUACGGGAGGAAGCAGUGGGAAAUAUUGCACAAUGGGCGCAAGCCUGAUGCAGCCAUGCCGCGUGUGGGAAGAAGGCCUUCGGGUUGUAAAGCACUUUCAGCGGGGAGGCGUUACCCGCAGAAGAAGCACCGGCUAACUCCGUGCCAGCAGCCGCGGUAAUUC